CGGACAUAUCACACAUGAAACUCCAGUUCUUGGACGAUCACUGAAGUUAAGCAACAUUGAGCCUGGACAGUACCUAGAUGGUGACCAGUUGGGAAUACCAGGAACUGUAUG